rnacentral:lncRNA from 1 species
GAGAGGGCUCUACUGCACCAAGAUCUCCCCACAGGAAGAGUGUGGCACCUCAAGUUGCUAGUCCAUACAAGCAGGUGCUCUUAACGCCUGGAUAUCUGCCUUGGCGUGAAGCAGAAGGGCCCACUUAACCAUGAUCUAUGCCCAAGAAAGGUGGAGUUGCUUAGGCAACUGAACCAGGUCAGGGAAAAUGCCUGCAGCUUUUCCCAGUGUCUU